GUGGUCCACAGGGCUCCUAGCUCCGCAUCUCCAUCCUUCCUAUUUCAGCCUGUUUAGGGUCUCAGCGAGGGGGUCUGCCUAAGGCAAUUGCUGAGCCGUAAAGGAAAUGAACUCCCUUUGGGAUGUCUACAUCUCUAAUUUGCGAGAGAAAGACCCAGGCUUCCUCUCCUGAACCAACUAGAUGGCCCGGCCCAAUCCCGACCAAGUGAUCACUGCCAGGGCCCUUCCAGGCCUGACAUUCCAUGUUCUAAAUUUCGUAUGACAGUUCAGACCCGAAGAGAUUUGCCCCAGGGACGGAGUUUGGGGCUGAGAUGAAUCAUCUCUUUUUCAUUGUAAAAAGAAAUUCUUGUUCCUUCAAAAAUGCUUUACAUUAUCAUUGGGGAUUCUUCCAAGUACACUCACUCAGCCCUUCCCUCCCUUAGUAGACAGGCCUUCAGGACUAGCUGUGGCCCAAAAUUAAAAAAUAAAAAAGCAUCACCUAGUGGCCGAACUUUCCCUCAACUCACCUCACUUAUACAAUUUGUGGCCAGAGCUGGUCCUUUCUCCCUUUACCAUCUCUCUCAUCCAGUCAGUUGUCCCCUUCUCUCCACUCCCAGAGCUACAACAUUUCUGGCUCUCCUUGCCUCUUACCUAGGCUAUGGCAAUAGCCUUCUAAUGGGUUUUCCUGCCCCAGGUCUCUCUGGAUCCAUUCUAUCAUCCAUUGGGAGGCCAAGGUGAUUUUCUGAUGAGUAUCUCUGACUAUGUCCACCCCUCUAUGCCCCAUUAGUUCCAGUCUCCCUGUUACCCCUAGGAUCAAAUAUAAACUCUGGCACUCAGAACUCGUCAGAAGCUGGUACCUUUUUAAAAAAAAACAGUAUUUCAUUGUCUUUGCCCAAUUACAUGUAAAAAGUUGGCACCUUCUUAUCUCUGCAGUCUUCUUCAUGGACUCUAUGACCUGGCUACACUGGCAUGUUUACUGGCUCUCACACGUGAUACUUUAAUCUCUCAUCUCCUCGCCUGUACACUGGUUGACUACUUAUCUCUGCCUUGGAGCUGCCCUGGCUUCCUUCUGCACUCAGCUCAAAACCCAUCUAGAGGCCUUGCCAAGUCCCCUAAGCUGUUAAUGGCUUCCUCUCUCAGAAUGCUUCCCUAAAUGGGAAUAUAUGGAGAGAUGCUGUUUGGGCCCAGGGAAGGGACCCUCUUCUUCCGUGGUAAAAGUGGAAGCUGGCAGCUGGAUCAAGAACAUGGGUGGAACUGAUAAGCCUGGGCCAGCCACCUUCUCCUACUUGUAAUCAUUAAUGGGACUUGGUCAGUCACUCAGUUGGUGGCAGUUAUUCUAAUUCUGCUGAUAGUACUGAAAGUACUAAAAUAUUAAAGUGUCUGUAUUGGU